rnacentral:rRNA from 1 species
GCAGUCGAGCGGUAGCACAGAGAGCUUGCUCUCGGGUGACGAGCGGCGGACGGGUGAGUAAUGUCUGGGAAACUGCCUGAUGGAGGGGGAUAACUACUGGAAACGGUAGCUAAUACCGCAUAACGUCGCAAGACCAAAGUGGGGGACCUUCGGGCCUCAUGCCAUCAGAUGUGCCCAGAUGGGAUUAGCUAGUAGGUGGGGUAAUGGCUCACCUAGGCGACGAUCCCUAGCUGGUCUGAGAGGAUGACCAGCCACACCGGAACUGAGACACGGUCCAGACUCCUACGGGAGGCAGCAGUGGGGAAUAUUGCACAAUGGGCGCAAGCCUGAUGCAGCCAUGCCGCGUGUAUGAAGAAGGCCUUCGGGUUGUAAAGUACUUUCAGCGAGGAGGAAGGCAUUAAGGUUAAUAACCUUAGUGAUUGACGUUACUCGCAGAAGAAGCACCGGCUAACUCCGUGCCAGCAGCCGCGGUAAUACGGAGGGUGCAAGCGUUAAUCGGAAUUACUGGGCGUAAAGCGCACGCAGGCGGUCUGUUAAGUCAGAUGUGAAAUCCCCGGGCUCAACCUGGGAACUGCAUUUGAAACUGGCAGGCUUGAGUCUUGUAGAGGGGGGUAGAGUUCCAGGUGUAGCGGUGAAAUGCGUAGAGAUCUGGAGGAAUACCGGUGGCGAAGGCGGCCCCCUGGACAAGACUGACGCUCGGUGCGAAGCGUGGGAGCAACAGGAU